GGGAGUAUCGACCCUCUCUGUGCCGAAGCUAACGCUUUAAGUACCCCGCCUGGGGAGUACGGUCGCAAGACUAAAACUCAAGGGAAUUGACGGGGGCCCGCACAAGCAGCGGAGCGUGUGGUUUAAUUCGAUGCUACACGAAGAACCUCACCAAGGCUUGACAUGUUAGAAGUAGUGAACCGAAAGGGAAACG
rnacentral:rRNA from 1 species